GUGGUAUUUCUAUAAGCAAACUAUGCCUUAAAAACGAUUAAUGUGCUUUUGGUAGUAUUGAUAAUAACACUGACAAAAAUCUGGUAUUCGAAAUUGACAUCAGAUUGCAAUAGAAUUAUGUGUUUGAGGACUCACUAUACAACUGAUGAAGAUAAUAUGAAUGUACCAUUAGUAAUAAAAGUAAUUAUCGCAUACCUGGAUAUGCAAUUGAAAAAUAGACCAAUAUUUGGAAAUUAAAUUAUUAUUGGUUUAGAAUAUUUGCGUUUAUAGCAAUUCUUAUCAAUAAUACCCCCUAUUAAGUGAAAAUUCUAUUGCGAUGUACUCUUGGUGCAUUACCGUUUAGACUAAAGGGAAUUCAUUACGUGAACCCACCAAAAUUCAUAGGACGCGUUUUGAAUUUUUUUAAAUUGUUUUUACAAAAUGAAUUAAAGGAUAAGUUGAAAUUGCAUGAAACUAUUGAUACUCUCUAUAUGUACAUUCUUAAAUAUGUUUUACCAAAGUAUUAUGGUGGAGAUGGUUGUAGAAUUGAAAAAAUUGAAG